AUAGUUGUGGCUAAGUGGUUAAGAUAAUAGAUUAGAAAUCUAUUGGGGAGGUCUCCCUGAGCAGGUUCAAAUCCUGUGAUCUACA
rnacentral:tRNA from 1 species